rnacentral:rRNA from 1 species
UACGAAGGGGGCGAGCGUUGUUCGGAUUUACUGGGCGUAAAGGGCGCGCAGGCGGCUAUCCAAGUCAGGCGUGAAAGCCCCGGGCUUAACCUGGGAGGUGCGUCUGGGACUGGGUGGCUAGAGUUCGGGAGAGGAGAGUGGAAUUCCCAGUGUAGAGGUGAAAUUCGUAGAUAUCUGGAGGAACACCGGUGGCGAAGGCGGCAUCCUGGACCAACACUGACGCUGAGGAGCGAAAGCCAGGGGAGCAAACGGG